UACGGGGGGAGCAAGCGUUGUUCGGAUUUACUGGGCGUAAAGGGCGCGUAGGCGGCGUGACAAGUCACUUGUGAAAUCUCCGGGCUUAACUCGGAACGGUCAAGUGAUACUGUCGUGCUAGAGUACAGAAGGGGCAACUGGAAUUCUCGGUGUAGCGGUGAAAUGCGUAGAUAUCGAGAGGAACACCUGCGGCGAAGGCGGGUUGCUGGGCUGAUACUGACGCUGAGGCGCGAAAGCCAGGGGAGCGAACGG
rnacentral:rRNA from 1 species